UGGGAGAAUCAGUGCUGAGCUAUGAAUGAGUCACUCGGAGCAAAUCUUAUCUUCCGUGUCAUUAAAGCACUUUUAUCGCUGCCCCUCAUCUUAAAAUUCUGUGAACUCCUCAAGGAACAGUCGUAUACAGGACUAUAAACCAUAAUCUGCUCCGUUACAGCUUUCUUAAUCACGAACUGACAAACUGUUCUGAUGUGUCAGAUAGCUCAGCUCCAUAUUCGCCCAUAACUUAUCAGCAGUUUUGAGGCGGGGGGUUUGUCUUAACAUGGUGUACCUUCAUUCUCACAGUGUCACAGGCUGGAUUGACACGUGCAGGAGGCUGUAAAACACAAAGGCCUGCGAACAGAAAAUAGCUGCAGCAGCGUUAUAACUCUCUGUCAGUGUAGUCAGUAUAUUAGGAGGGUGCCGAUGUUCCCACAGCCCUAAGUGUUUUUUUCCCAAAAUUUGGCCCUAUGUUCCCACAUUUCCUUCCACUUUGACCCCUUUCCUUAACCCCUAACCCUUAAAUUGAAGGGAAAUGUAGGAGCACAAGACCUAGUUUUGAAAAUGUCCUAGAAAUGUAGGAACAUAGGGCUGACACCACUACACUGAUUUCUGCUGAAGGUGAAACUUUCAGCUCCUGAAAAAACAAUGUGCUAAAGUUAAACAUUUGUAAAGAUCUUGCUGAAAGGAAUGGUAAGAGAUUUAGGGGGAAAUGAUUUUACUGAUUUUAUGAAGCUACAGCUGGCAGCCAGUUAGCUUAGCUUACCACAAACACUGGAAACAGUUAACAACAGUUUGCUCUGACAAAAUCACGGCAUUUUUCAAUUUGCUUGGAUUAAAUUAAAGCAACAUAACAUGUUAAGUGAUGACCCCUAAAUGCACCAGUAGUCUUUUAUUUGGACAGAGUAAAAGUAAUUAAUUCAGAUGCUGAUUACUUUUGCAUAUUAGUCACGACUUUCACAUGAGUGUGUAAUGUGGGAGAGGCAGUCUGAGGUUAUUUGAACUGAUUUGUCUUUUAUUCCAUGUCGUGUUUUUUUUUUUGCUUGAGGUGUUUUUUGUUUGUUAGUGUUAUGGCAGAUUCAUAUUUUCAUUAUUUUUAUCGUAAUGUGUCUCAGCACAAAAAAAAAGAACUGCUUGUAAACAACGGCUGCAGCUGCCAUGACAUUUACAGUGGCUGUUAAAUACAUGCUGAAUGCAGUGGGAGGCUGUCAUGUUUAAAUGAGAUGGACCAGAGAGUGCUGUCUUAUAAUCAGUCACCCAAACUCCUGCCCCGGGGCUAAAAGUCAAAGGAUCGCUGAGACCUGAUGUAACACUUGUGUGAUUCUCCCCUUUGAAACUUCAAACUCCAGUUUGUGAACAAAGUCCUGUCUAUCUUCUGAAUAGGAAUCUCCGACCACUGACCAAACUCCAUUUGCAACCACUGCCUAUUUGUACCUUCUCCUCAAUGACUACAUUUCAUUUCCCCAAGUCCGAUCUCAAAGGCAGGCGUCUGGGAAGCAACACAGUAAAAAUUCAAAAUACAGGAGCCAGGAACUGGGAGGAAAAAAGACGAUCAUGUUGGCCGGGAUCAGAUAAUAAGAUGUGGAAUAUACACUGACCGGGGGACUUGCUUUGUUUCUGACUAAGAGAGCAACACCAACAGGGGAAAUGUGAGUGUUGGUAAAAGCCCAUCCAGGAGCGUGUUGAUGUUGAUAAGAGUAAAACAGAAGGAGACAAUGUGCUGGCUGCAGCAGAUUUGAGGCCAGCAGAAAGAGGCUGCUGCUCUGCUCUCCUGCUGUAGAUGGAGGAGAUAGGUGAGUAGAGUGUCAUGGCAAAGACCUUGUCAACAGAUAACUAUCUGCAAAUAACACAGCUUAUGCAAGCAAGUGUGGCCCACCGCAGGCGGGAAUAUCAUAUUUUCUGUGCCACUGGAAUAUUGUCAAUUACUCCCAUUGCGUUUAAUGACACAAAUUGAUUUUUAAAGGAGAUUAGGUUUGCUUUUUUUUCUCUUUUAUUUAAAGAAAAUAAUUUCGUAAUAGUGUUAUGUUGGUGUGUCACACGUUGCUGCACCUUUCUCCCGCUUUUAUCGUGCAAACUACUUGAGCUUAUGCGAAAUAAUGUAUUUUUGAUUUUCCCUGUCAGAUAAUGUCCCUCUGUACUCUGAGUGGAACUAAUCUGGCCUUCACAGCCUGGUAACUGCAGCCAAAUGAUGCCCUGUUGUGGUGUUAGGCUCAUCGUUUUUUAGGGUUUAGUGCUGAAAAGACAAAGAUAUAAUCACACUGCCAAACAGAGGCCUCUCUAUACUCAUCAAAAAGAUAAAACUGUUCUGUAAAGUGUUUCAUUUUUGGUUUCCCUUCAGCCACAUAGUCUUAUAUUACAGGGAUGUUUGACUGAUGUUUUUAUACAGAUGGUUUCAAUAAAAUGGAAAAUGGCAAAAGAGUCGAAAUCAGAUCCUUUUUUAUGGAACAACAGGAGCGUUUUCAUGUCGUCCUCGCACAUAAUGACCAUUUGCUCUCAGGGUAAUGAUAAACCACAUGUGCCUAUUUAGUUCGCCAGUAUCUCGGAGGAUUAUGGGGUGGUAAAAACUUGUUGAGGAGGGAAUUUAGUUUUUAGUUUCUUUUCUAAGAGAGAGGCCGCUAGAAACUAACUUUUUCGUAAAGACAACCUUGUAGUUCUCAAACAAAGUCGGUUCAAAUACGUCUUCAUGUCUCUUUUUUAUGUUUAAAGCCAAAAUAACCCUUUAACACAACGUUUCACGCUGAAAGACAUAUUCUCAGGUGUUUUAUCUCUAACAUGCUUCAUCUCAUCCAGUCCGGCUGAAAAACUAAAGUAGCCUCUGUGCACCAAAUAAGUAAACAAUUGCAUCAAUAAACGUGAAGACCCAUGCAGGACGUAAAUCAAUCACAGUCCGUGAUAAGCCUCUGUAAUCAUUAACUCUGUUUUUGCUGAGAAGUCAUUUUGACUGCUGGCCCGAUCACCUCUGUCAGCAGCUCUGCUCUGAGUACUUUUUAUCUCUCUGAUUCUCUAUAGGUCCUUCAGUCUUCAGCCGAUCAAUAGACGUUUAACCUCCACAGCUCGAGUAACAAGGCACUAAUUAUUUAUGAAUCAAACAUUAUCCUGUCAGUGCGGAGACUAAAUCAGAGAGGACUUGACUUUAAAACACUCCGACCCAUCUGAUGAUCAGCCGUCUGACUGCGUCAUGACACUGUUUGAAUAUUGGUUGGUCAGUUUAAACUCUUCAUCAGCUCUUUUUUUUUUUUCCUCGGUGCUCAUUGGCUGCUCUCUUUCUACCUGCUGAGGUCACACGCCGCUCUCUUCUGUUUGAACAAACCAACUCUGUCGUCAGAUCACGCUGUCAUGUUUUACUUCAAUGUCACAGGCAAAUGUUUUGGCAAAAGUGGUGGAAGAGUAUCCAAAUCCUUUUUCUCGAUUUAUAGAAGCAAAGACCGCAGAGAGAACUCAAAUGAAACUCAGUAGAGCGCAUACCUCCACCAAGGCCCAGCAGCCCACUUUACUUCAAUCAAUCCUUACCAAAGAUCAAAUAUAAGAUGUUUAAAUUCACUGAGAUCGGGACUUUUAUUAGGCGCUGCAUCAUAUUGUAGUCAGUCAUAGAUACCAACCACCUUAAAUAUGGAAGUAAAGGAUCCACAACAAGAAAUGACGCAGCUUGUUCUCAUCCAGGACUCAUCACCCAUCCAAGUUUUGUGAAAAUCUGUUCAGUAGUUUUUGUGUAAUCCUGCUGACAAACCAACCAAAAAACAGACACGUCCUCCAUCUACAUUAAGGUCUCGUAAAAGUAAUAUUAGAAUCUCGUACCAGUAAUAUUUUGAUGUGUAUUCAAAGUGCAGCUGCAGUGGUCAAUGUUGUAAAAAGUGACGAUAUGGUGUUAAGAUGUCACUUCGGUAAAAGUGAAAGUCCUCCAGGUGAAUAGUACUCGAGUAAAAGUCCUUAAGUAUCUGAUAUUACCUGAACUUAACUGUCAAAAAAUACAAGUAAAAGUAACUUGUGCAUAUAUUCUGUAAGUGAUGACCUAUUAUCAGAUCUGCAUUUAACUGAAUCAUUGUUUUUUUUAAUCAGAAUGCAGAUAAAUUGAUUUAAAAACAUCCCACUUUCGCUAUGAUGCAGUUUGUAUUCUGUAAGGUAACUAAUAAGUAGUUACUUUACUUUUGAGUAACUAGUAACUAGUUAUUAAACAAAAAUAGCUUCCUGUAAAAUGUAGAACAGAAAUUGGAAAUACUCAAGUAAAGUUACGUCCCAUCACUGAUCGUAUUCUGUUCUCUUAUGUAAAUUAAAGGAGCAUUUCGAAAUGUUGAACCUGAUUUAACUUAUCAUAACGACGUAACAAACAUCAUGAUUCAUAACAACACAUCAUGUGGAAAAACUCAAAGUUGAAUUCGUGUUUUGUAUAUGUGUGAACUGAUUUCUUUAAUUUCCUCUGACAUAUAAAGUGUUAAAACCUCAAAAGUAUGUUACUUGACUAUAGAACUGUAGUUUCCCUCUUGAAAUGCCAGCAGAGCAACAUGAAAUCACCACUUACUGCUGCCAUCAUGUGGACACACUGAGUCCACACAGGACACCCAGAUAACCAGACUCACGCUACAUUCGUCCAUAAACAGCUGAAUCACUGAAUUCCUCUAAUCACAUGUUAGUGUUUAACAUUAUUUUAACUUAAUAAACAUGAACUUCUUGUUGAUUGAUGCCCGUCAGGUUUCUCCUCAAUAAAGCAGCUCUUGUAAACAGUCAACAUUCAGAACUUCACUCUCUCAAAAAGUUCCACAAAACUUCUCUUUCGCCGGCAGCAAUAAAGCAGAAACACUCGACACAGCCGGCUUUCACUCCCAGCAGCUUUACCUUCCGCAGUUUCUGAGCACAAACAGCAGCUUGUUGUUCUCCCCUCGAUUCAGGAAUAAUCUACACGCUAAGUCUCUGCGUUCUCUCCGACCACCUUUACCUGGGUUGGUGAAGUGCAGCGUCCCAUCUUGGCCGUACAUCCCUCUGAAGGCCGAGCCCUGACAGUGAGCCGGCCAGCUGAGCGAAGGCCCAUGAGCCUCGGCGGCUCUCUCCGGCCCGGCCAGGCUGAGGCAGGCUGGGAGGAGAAGCAGGGCCGCUGUUACCGGGUAGUACUGUGUGCCGGGGGCCAGCGGGCCGGCUGUUAGGGCCCACAACACCCGCGGAUAAUCCCCUAAUGCCUGUCACAAUGAGAUUUGAUUGGAGACUUGAACACUGGGAUUAAUAGUGUCAAGUGAACAGUGUGUAAUACCGAGCCUCCAAACAGGCUAAUUGGGCUUUUCUGCCUCUGUUAAACACCAGAUAUUCUAUUACAGAACGGAUUAUAUUUCACUUCAUUAGCUGAGGGAUCUGUUCACCGGGACGCUUUCUGUAUGGCUGCAGUUAUAUUUAUACAUUAAUGAUUUCAUCACAUCAGGUUUGUGGUGAAACAGAACCUUAGUACAAUUUUGGCAUUCUUCACUUCAGUAUUCCCAUUGUUAGACAAUUUGGAGGGAAAUAAUCGACUUUUUACUGUAUAAAUACCACACAGGGCUCCAGGGUGCCGGUGUUUUGGCUGCACAUGAUCUAAAAAAUAUGCGAGAAAGUGUAACUUAACAUUUAUUUAUCAUUUAUUUAUUCAAAUUUCUUGUUUGUGUUUAACUUAGGAAAAACACGUAUUUGCACCUUCGCUCUUGUUUACAGUCAAGUACACAAUAUGUUAAAGGGACACUAUGUGGUCUUGGAGAAGAAAACUCCAACUUACAAUAAUAAUGAGGUCAUAAUACAUUCAGAAAUAUUAAAUGUUUCCGUAACUGAAUGAACAAGUUGUUCUCGGAGGACAGUAAGGUCCCAGAACACUGUUUGAAGCCAGAAAAGGUGGCAGGGUCCGCCACAUAUAAACAAAGUUAAACAGUACAGAUUUGUUUUGUCCUUUAAGGUUACUUUGUUUAUUCAGUUUAUUCAGUCACAUUCAGUGAAAACAGAGUCUGCUCAUUUAGCUUUUUUAGUCAAUGAAGAUAUCUCUCUUCUGAUUAAAAUGUCGUCCACAAAACUAAUUAUCGCACCUUUAAAAAGAAACUAAACAAAGUGUAUAAACUUAAAUUAUGUGCCGGUGCACCUAAAGUUAGACACACCAGUGCAGCAGUGUGAGGAAACUGUCUCCUUACUCCCCGACACACUUCAGGUGGGUUGUCAUAGCAAUAGAAGAAGAAGCUACAGGUGAAAAGUCAAACUGAGAAUAAUUCAGAAACGAACAUAGUUUCAGAGGGAUGCAGGGUGUGUGUAUGUCAUGUUUGUGUUCUUAAGUCCUGCACAACACGUGUGGUUGUGUGUGAAGUGUGUGUCCUGGAUGUAUUUCAUCCAUCCUCUCUGAGAGAAGCUGCUCUACAGGUGAAAACUGUUGAUUCAGUCAUAGUAAAACUAACGCAGUUCUCUAAAACCCCAGGUCAAGUUAAAGCCCAAACUAAAGCAGUUCAUCAAGUGUAGCACUAAAAUAUCACUGUUUCCAUAACUCAUUUUGUAAUAUGCAAUAUGUUUUGUGUAUGUAACAGUGACCAGGUCUAUUUUGCCUCAUUAUGAGCACUUUUUUUUGUGGUUUUUAAGGUGUGAUAUUGACGUUUUUAUUGAGGUAAAAUAUAUCAGUACUUCUUCCACUUCUGCCUUCAGUUAAAACAUUGUUUUAUGUCAUUUCAAGCUCCCACACUUGCAUUAAAAAACAUGAAUGCAGUGCAUUAUUUAUAACACAUCUUGUGUUUUCUCAUGACCUGUCUUCGUCUUGGUCCACACAGCAGCUGUAUUAUAAAAAGAUGUUGUGUUUGUUCAUUUCUAACCGUUAACUCUGUCGUCCCUGUAUAUUACUGAGGGAUCGGGCCUCUCGUGACCCACUGUCGAGUCAUUCAGCUCUGUAGGCAAACAGAUAUCUUGCAGGGGAGCUGUUGAACGGCUGUUGUCAUGUUUACAUUCACCAAGUGAUUCUGCCAACAGCCGAGCUCGAGAGUUUGUCCAGGUUGUGACCGUUGAGCAAUCAAUCCCAUGUGUGUGACACAAAGCUGUGUGUGUUGUGCGAGCUAAACUGUAAGUGAAGAGGAAAGUUUGUCAGUUCGUCAGCGGAGCCUCAAGGAAAUAAAAGUGAACUCUACCAGAAAAAACUGAAAGGUUUCGAAGAAAUGUAUCCAGAUUUUUGCCACGCUUGCCUUUAAUCACCACGUUAAAGAAGCAUUAGUUUGCACGACAUAGAAAUAGAAGAGAGUGUAUAAAAUUUGCACAGCUCGAUUAGACGUGACGUCGACAUGUUUUGAAGCCAACUGAACGAUGAUUUGCAGUUUGUUUGGACAAAGAAGCAUAGUAUAACUCGAUCCAAGCCAGAAGGAGCUUAGUGCAGGCAGCUGCCAAAGAAUGUAUUUGUAACAUAAAUGUCCUGGUUUUGGAAGAUUUGUACAGCGUAUCCUGCGGAGGGUAAACAAAUCCUUUAGAAAAUGUUGCUAUUGUACUCAGAAAGAGUGAAACUCAGUGAUUUGGCCUGAGGCGAGGCAAUUUUCCUGUCAUGAAUGAAAGAGGUGCCUGAUCACGGAUCAAUCCAAGUGUCACUUGUUUGAAAAGAGGAGGCGUGUAAUAACUAUACAAACACUGCGUACAGUCACAAUAACAAACGCUGCAUCCUCUGAUUCUCUGCUCUGCAGCUGUUUAAAACCAAAAACAACAUCAUGUUAGUCGGCCUACAAUACUUUCAGUCUUCCCUGCUCUGCCUGUUGCCCCUAAAGAUGUAAAUCUUUGAAAACAGGUCAUGAUUAUAUAACACGAUGUUAAAAAAAAAAAAAAAAAAAAAAGGCACUGUAGCUUUUAGAAAACGGCACACAAACAGGAGUAAAUAGUGCAUUUGUUGGGGACUAUUUUUAGCAGCGGAUUAAACCACAUUUGGAGCUCAAGUGAGUAUUAACAGCGGUGCAGAGCAGCAGGUGGAGUAACUCAGAGAAACAAACCCAUCCCUCUCAGAAAGAGACUGUUCAGCCGCACGAGUCGAUUUUCUUUAUCACCUCUUUCACAUUUUGCCAGAGCUUUGUAAAAAAGAAAGAGAGAGAGAGAGAAUUUGCAUCUGCACAUCCUGCUGUAACAUGCAAAUCCUGCAGUGACCAUGAGAGUGAGAACAAAAACCCCCACCGUCGACAGCUGUGUGAGAGCUGACAGAACAGACUCCAGGACAGAUGAGACUGGACCGUCUUUCUGUGAUCUGUAAGAAUCGACUCAUUGUAUCAUUUAGCCAUGACAGCAAGUCAUCUUCAUCAAAACUUCAUCUUAGUCUUUACAUUUUUUUCCCCACCAUUACAGUCGACAGAGAGAAUACUUCCAGCAGUGCAGGUCUUUAACUCAAGUAUCGUACACUUUAGAUAUAUUUGUACUUUUACUGUUUCCGCCACUACAUUUGUUUGGCCCGGACAGUUACUAGCUGGCUUGGGGAGUAAUAGAAUACAUGUAACAGAAUUAUGUAAUCCCAGAUACAUUCAGUAGAAAAGGGGGAUUACUAACAGGAUUACAAUUUUAGGAUACAGAAUGAAACACUGGUCUGUAACUGUGCACAUGUGCACGCAUGGCAACACAACGUCACACAACCAAAUUCACAAGUGUGUUUUCUUACUUGUGUAUCAGGAUGAAAUAAAAAUUAUAAUAUUGCUAUUUCUUUUCUCUGGUCUUUCUUUGCACAUGUUUGAUAUUAAGGAACAGAUAAAUCAAGUUUAAUGUUGCGAUGCUUGGAUUAAAUUACUGACUAUAUUCUUUAUGCUGCAGUACAGCGUCACUACUGUAACUACACUGACGAACUACAACUUUAAAACACUCUAACAUAUCUGUUAGUGGAUAAAAACAGAUUCAUGUGAUAAUCUGUAAAAAAAAAACGAACCGUUCUAUGUAACGAGUUCUUCUACUUUUAAUACAUUCAGUUAAUUUUGCGCAACAAAACGUGUUCUUGCAGGUGCACUGUGUUGUUUUGUUGUUGUUUUUUCAUUAUUUAAGCCAUCCUUAGGGAAUAUAAAAAAAACAAUCAAUGACGGCUUAGUUCUGUCCUCAUUUAAAACUCCUCCUGAAACUAUAUACUGUAUCUUUAAGUAACAUUUUCAAUCAUGUAAGAGUAUUUGUAGCUCCGUUUCUACAUCAAACAUUUAGCACAAAACCUUUAUUUAAAAAGCACAUGUUACACUUAGAUACUACACUGCUAAUCUACUCAGUAGUGACAAACUACAACAUUAAAAUGUUCUCAGAUGUAUCCGUUAGUGAUGAAAACAGAUUCAUAUAAGAUUCUUUGGUAAUUACAGGUGGGAGCCACAGAAAAAUGCACAAUAUGAUUCAUGAUACGUAGCCAACGAUAACGAUUAUAUCACAAUAUUGCGAUACAGCAAUAUUGUGAUAUUCGAUACAUUACAAGACAUCAUCCCACAAAACAUCACAUUAUUCUAACUGAACAAUACAAAAUACCCUUCAAAGGAAAACUAUGAGAAUUAUGUAUUUAUAGAUGUAUUAUGGUGUCAGUUUGACAGGAUUUGACAAUAACUGAGAUGAAAUAAUGUACAAAAGAGUGUGAGUGCUUCUUCAUCUCACACACUGACUGCAACUUGUCCGUGUUCACUAGUGCCUCCAUUUUAAUAUUUUAAUAAAAAUAUCGACAUUUGGCGUCAGCGUGUCAAUAAUCAUAUCUCAAGAGGAAGUAUCGCCAUAUUUUCCCAUCCCACUUUUGAAAAGAUCCAUUCUGUACUUUAACUCUACAUUUUAGCUUGACAUAAACAACAUUUUGAAUGCGGGACUGUUAUUUGUGUGAGUGUUUUCAGACCAUCCUACUUUUACAGAAGUGAUGGAUCUGAGUACUUCUGCACCACUGAGAGUAAAAGUAUAUCUGACAUCAUCCACCGACGCAGCUUCUCAAAGCUCCCUCUCACAUCGGCUGCACCAACAACAGCUACUUUUAUAGUCUUGAUGCUUCAGGGACAUUUUGCUUGACGAUACAGCUGCACCGUUACUUAAGAAAAUACUUUGAAUGCAGGAUUUGUAAAGCCAGUAUCCUGAUCUCUUUUUCCCUCACUGAGAACAGAAAUACAUCUGACUUCAUCAGCCUACACAGCUUCUCAGAACUCCCCCGCUUGUAUCAGCUACACCGAAAAACAUCAUGUUCAAAUCCUCCAGUAAACCCCCCCAGUCAGCCUCCAUGUCCUCUGCUCCGACAUCUCAAAACCUCUGAACCAUCGUCACCAUCGGGCCCAGCUCCCGUGGCCUUUUUAACAACCUCCAUAUCUCUGACACACCUCCUGGAUUACGGCCGUGUGAAAAAGGCACACGCAAAUGGCGAAGACGUCGUCCCUCAGGAUCCGUCGUGAUCCGGCAGAGCGGCGGCUGCUGCCACAAAACCACCGCAAAAAAAAAAACACAGAGAAAGGCAAGCAGCUGCUACGCUCAACCUGUUUGUUUUUCACUGGACAUUAAAACAAAAAAAAAAAUAAAAAAGUGUGUACUCACCAAAUGGAAGUUCCAUACUUGAACUGACUGGCGUGUUUACAUUGACCAUGUCUUCCUCUGCCUCCUCUCAAGCAUGUGUUUUAAAUCCACUUUUUUUUUCUUUUUUUUUUUGUUCCUCCUCAAACGCAAGAUGUAAAAUGUGGAAGUUUGGCGCAGGGUGCUGUAGUGUGAGAAGGGUGUUGUUGGUGCAAGGUAAGGCCGGUGUUGCCGCUGUUAUCUUAUUGAUUUUCCUAAUCUGGGCAAAUGUGGGUGGGGAGGUUAAACAGUAACCAGGCUCUUAUGGACACCAAUCUAUAUAGCAGCUGUAACUAAGGCAACAUGAUGAUAGAAACUCAAAUAGACAUAAAGUUAUCAUGUGCUUUUCCCUUCUUUCUCAUCACCAAACAGCCAUUUCUCCAGAUACAGAUUACUAAGAUGACUAAGAGCGCUGAAUAAGAAAACUGAGUUUAUACAAAAAGGGAGAGAGAAAGCUGGAGGGUGGGGAGGGACAUGAAAGACGGAGAGGAGUGGAGAAUGUACUGAGGGUGGCAGCCAGCAAACGCUGUAUGACACUCAAGACUUGAAUAACGGCUGCACUCGGAUCAGAUCAGAUUUGUGUGUCCAGACUUCACCAACCUAUCUGCGUCUGUUGCUGUAGGGACGACGAGGGCUCCAGUAACUACGGUGUAUCAGAUGUCACUCCACCGUUGCCAGAACAUCAAAAUAAUUAUUGUUCCACCAGGAGCAUCGUUUCUAAUUACGAGAGCGGGACGAGACAAGCGUGCUUUGGGUGAAAAGUGAGUUAUGCUGUCGUGGGGAGGAAAUUCUAAUCAGAUGAGAAAUAUAUUAUUGACAAACUGACCUUAAAGGACAACACUGCUUUACUUUGUUUAUAUGUGGCGGACCCUGCCACCUUUUCUAGCUUCAAACAGUGUUCUGGCGACAUUGUUGCCCUCUGAGAUCAGCUCAGAGUUUUUAUUAUUACCUCAUUAAUAUAUUUAUAUAUAAUAAAAGAGUGGCGUCAAUCUUCUCGUCUAACUCUCGGCAACAGAAAGAAUAAAUGUGUUUCCCCAGCUGUCUGUGGAGGCAUCGACUGGUGAUGAUGCCAGUAAGUUUAGAGAGUUCUCUAAGCUACAGAUGUAAUAAUCUUUAAUGACCUGAGACUCUAUUUAAGUUAAGAGUAAGCAAAACUUUUCUGCAUCUGCAGAUAAACAGCGAACAAAUAAAUGGUUGCACCGGUCGCCAAAGUGCUGAGCCGGGUUUUGUUUGUUUCCUGGGUGAAAUGGUCUCCAUAUCAAAUAUUUUACAUGUUUGCCGUGACAGGCCACAGUGUGUGUGUGUGUGUUUUCAUGAUUUUGUUGGAAGGCACAGCUGAUUCCCUCGUAUUUAAGACCAUAAAGCAGCAUUAGUCUCCCGUUUUAUGGCAGAGAAAGUCUCUCAGGGGGCGACUGUGAGGAUGUAAUGAGGUGAAACGCAGGACAGAAAAUUUCCUGCAGCAGCGAAUAAACACAAGUCGUGAACAGCAGAUUAUUUAUAGGGAUUUACGGCGUCAUCAGUUAUUUAUAACUUAAUGAGUGUUCAGUCGGGCAAACAGACAACCGUGAAUUAAAGACGUUGGAGUUUAUUGAAUGACUGAGCAGAGAAGAUAUUAAAUCAGGUUAGGAGGAGCAUGGAUAUCACAUCCAAAGUUAUUAUAGCACUGUAAGCCAUCUGUACACCAAAAGUGCUCUAAGUUUUGGUGAAUGCCUCUUAAAAGUCACUCAAACCAACAAAUUCAUCAAUUAAAGUGCAAAAAAAAUCUCAAAAGUAACAAAACAGGCCAGUUUUUCAGCAAACACAUGAAGAAAUCCUUCUUGUGUUGUAAUGAUAUUUAGUUUUUUUUGUAAAAUGUGGAGCAGAAAUGAUGAAAAUAUAAACAUUCUGUGUGUGAAACAUUCAUUAAUAAAGAUUUACUUUGAGCGUAGUGGUAACUGGACAGCUGCAUCAUGUUGUGCAGCCCUGUGUUGGUUCAAUCUUUUCAUGGAUAACGACUUCAUGUUCUUUUUCCUCUAAUAAAACAUGUUUUAAACGUUG